AUUGAACGCUGGCGGCAUGCUUUACACAUGCAAGUCGAACGGCAGCGCGGGCUUCGGCCUGGCGGCGAGUGGCGAACGGGUGAGUAAUGCAUCGGAACGUGCCCAGUAGUGGGGGAUAGCCCGGCGAAAGCCGGAUUAAUACCGCAUACGACCUGAGGGUGAAAGCGGGGGACCGAAAGGCCUCGCGCUAUUGGAGCGGCCGAUGUCGGAUUAGCUAGUUGGUGGGGUAAAGGCUUACCAAGGCGACGAUCCGUAGCUGGUCUGAGAGGACGACCAGCCAAAUGGGAACGGGGCAACGGCCAGACUCCCUACGGGAGGCAGAGGGGGGAAUUUUGGACAAUGGGGGCAACCCUGAUCCAGCCAUGCCGCGUGCGGGAAGAAGGCCUUCGGGUUGUAAACCGCUUUUGUUCGGGAAGAAAUCCUCUGGGCUAAUACCCCGGGGGGAUGACGGUACCGGAAGAAUAAGCACCGGCUAACUACGUG
rnacentral:rRNA from 1 species